GUUUUGCUCUUUUUGCCCAGGAUGGAGUGCAAUGGCACAAUCUCGGCUCACUGCAACCUCUGCCUUCGGGGUUCAAACAAUUCUCCUGCCUCAGCCUCCCAAGUAGCUGGGAUUACAGGCACCUGCCACCACACCCAGCUAAUUUUUUGUAUUUUUAGUAGAGACGGGGUUUCACCAUCUUGUCCAGGAUGGUCUUUAUCUCUUGACCUCGGGAUUCACCUGCCUCGGCCUCCCAAAGUGCUAGGAUUACAGCCGUGAGCCACAAUUCUGUUUUCAACACGAACUGCCUUUGAAGCUCAGACCCACCUGUCUACUUCUUCUACUUUUCAUGCUUUUUCACUGGAGGAAAUCUAGGAGUCAUCCAGCAUCCAGGGAGAAUACUCAGAGGGCGGGGGUGAGUCAAGUGGACCCAACCGGGCUUCUUCUAUGGAGGGUUGAAGCCAAAUCGACCAGCUACUCAAGGAUCUGUUCAAAAUUGCAAGUAACAUUCUUGACCUCCAGAUUAAAAAGAAGGAGAAAGAGAAGGAGAAGGAGAAGGAGGAGCAGGAGGAGGAGGAGGAGGAGGAGGAAGAGGAGGAAGAGGAGGAGAAGGAGAAGUGGAAGAGGAAGAGGAGAAGGAAGAGAAGGAAGAGGAGGAGGAGAAACCUGAAAGACUAAUUAAUACCAUGGAAAGCACUUUGGAAUUGCUUUCUAAACUUGCCAUAGUGAAAACAAAUGGACGUUUUGAUUAAAUGGAUAUCAUUAGGAUGGUAUGUUAUGAUCUCAACCCCUGGUUUAAUGAUCUUAUUAAGACCAAGAAAAAUUCAUUAUGGACUCUCAGAUCAAAUAAUUCAUUUUACAGAGCCAAGGAAAAAAGACUAUCUGUUUGCUCAGGAUAGAAAGACUAUCUUGAAUGUAAGCAAAAAAAAAAAAAAAAAAAAAAAAGAAAUUCAGCACUGAGAAGUGUAUAUAACUAUCUUUAUUUCAAAGUGGGGAAAAGCAUAGUCAAAGACAACAGUGAAAAGCACAGACUGGGGUGGAAAGAAUGUAGGUCAUGGAGGAGCUUUUGCUUCCAGUCAUUCUUUGCCAUACUUUGCCUCAGCCCAUCCACCCCAAAAGGAGGAACUGUGUGAUGAUGUGAUAGGGUGGAUAAACUGGGAUAAUUACAACCUCAUCACUUUUACUUGGAUUAAGCAAGAGGAUUAAGACAAAAUUGCCAAGGAGUGUAAAGAAGACAGAUUACAGACAGGAAAUCAGGAGAAGCAGUGGUGAGUAACUGGAAGAGAAUAGCAUGAGAAACAAAAUAGGAGAAGGAAGUGGAAACGGAACGGAUAAAAAUUAAAUCAGGGAGCAUCCAUGAGACUCAUAAGGAAUGCUACAUGCCACCAAGAGACAGUGUUUGCCCCCAAAAUGCUGUCAUUGAGACCUGUACUAUAAGGACUCGUUACAUUGAGAAAGAUGAUGGAAUGUCUUUUGGCUGAGGUCUUCACCUAAAUAUUUGAAGAAAAAAAAUAAACUAUUAGACUACUGAGGAGCUCCCACUUGAAAGUGUUUAAGAUCAAUUCACCUAAAACCUUAAGGGCAAAAAUUUAACAACACUGCCUGUGGCUUUGCCAAUGGCAAUCUAUUUUCUGUGUCUUGUCAGGGCACACUGAAGGGAGGUUAUAGCUAACUGCUGGCAGUCUUCUUUCAUGUCUCCCUUGAACACAAUACUUCAAGCCAAACCAUUUUGACAUUGCUUUAUCUGUUCAGGCUUGACUACAUAGAGCAUUAAGACCUCAGCCACAUGAACAGGGAAGGGAAAAGAUAGAGGUUUAAUCAGGCAGGAGGAUGGAUAGAAAAAUUAGACUAACUGUAAAGCAGCAUCUUUAAAGUAGUCAACUACUGUGCAAACUUUGUAAAUUCUGCUUGAUUAGAUUAAGAAUUAAUGUCUGAGAAUGUCCAAUGCAGAGUGAGGUCCAACCAGUAAAUUAUGCUCAAACUCAAAUCAGUGGGAUGCUACACGUUUUAUUAUGAGUGGAAACAAUGGCUUAGGUUAGAGAGCAGGGGAUGAUAAAAUACAACUAGAGGAUAAAAAAUGAGUACAAUGUCAAAACUCUACCCUUUGAAUAGAGCAAUAAAUGAGGAUGAUAGCUGAAUCAAAAUAACUGGGCCACAUGACAGAGGAGUAUAUAAAGUUUGUGACCUUACGUACUCACAGAUGCUAAGGUUUUACCCUCUAGCACAAUGGAAUGGUGAUAGGUUCACUGUCUAGAGAACUGAGCCUGUUGAUAUCUUUUUGCCCAUUUCCCAUCUAGUUGAGAUGGAAAAAGCAUCCAUGGGUAAAACUAGCAGGAUGGGAAAGGCGGUAGUUGACAGAACACACUACCACAUUUGAUAUAGGUCAUUGCCUCUGCUUCUUUCUGCUGAUGGGACUUCUUGUCUGCUAAACUAGACAGUCCCAUGUGUCAUGCAAUUACUUCUUCCAGUCACCUGUAUAUUACCUUGUUACCACUUCCUUCACAGCCAGGGUGCAGAGGGAUCUUCUGUCUUUCCUGAAGACUGAAUUUCAUAACAAUCUUCCCAGGGGACCUUGUGGUACAGUAGAGAAAGCACAAGUUUUAGAGUCCGGCAGAAAUUAAAUUUCAAUUACAUAAAUGUUACUUGGGUUCUGUGUUUUACAUAAGGCUCAGUUCCUUAUCUGUGAAUGGAUAUAGUAUUGUCUAUCUUAGGAUGCUAUUGAGAUAAUUAAAUGAGAAAUAAAACAUUUAAAAUCUCUAGCUCACUGGCUGACACUCAACAAGUGUGAAUUUCCUUCACCCCACCCUAUAUCAUCUUUGCCCUUCUCUUACAUAGGGUUUCAUGGGACUCACCUUCUGCCGGUUAAUGUACUCUAUCUUUGUGGUCCUCCAUGGCAUCUUACCUUCAAGCACAACACAUGCCAUUGGGUAUUGUUUUACUCAAGGAUGGUCAGGUGUGUUCCUCUAAUGGCUCGUGGGGAAAAACAAUCUCUCUGUUUAAUCAAGGGUGUCAUUACCAACCAGAUGGUUGAAUAUCUAGAAUUAAUCAGUUAUUGGGUACCUGUAGAAUUUAAAAAACAGAAGGCUGCCAAGUUAAGACAGCCUUGACAAUUUGUGUAUACCUUGAAAUUUUGUAUACACAUUGGCAGAAGUAAUACAAACUUUACAUCAUUUCCAUCUUAUUAUAGAGUUGAUACUAAUUGGAUCUCAAUAAGCCUUGACUCUCGUUAAACGAUGCAAAUAUAACCUACCUUUUCUUUCCCUUGCCAAGGUUUUUUUUUUUCUGCUGUUGUUGCUGUUUGUUUUGAUGUGUUUUAUGUUAUUUUGUAUUAUUUGGAUUUGCCAUACCAUGGUUACAAACAGAAGAGGUUAAAAUAUUCUUGAAAAUGCAUCAAUAAAUAAUUUAUGUUGUCUCUUAAUCAAAUAACAUAAUGUAUCAGGAUGUUUGCAUUUAGAAUGUUACCG
rnacentral:lncRNA from 1 species